UCAGUGAAGUGUGAGCAUGUCUCCCCUUUCUGUCUUUCUUAGAUUUUGUCCUCUUCUCUCUACUUUCUAAUACUUUUUUAAUUGAAUCUUACACUAAAGAUGGGUGCAGCGGUGCAUUUUGGUUCCUUUUUCCCUCCCUUAGUUAAGUUGAGCUUAACUAAGUUAGCUGGCGGCCCAUUCUUUGCAUUUAGUCUGCUUAAAGUAGAAGAAAAGAACGGCAGGCCUCCAUCAUGUGGACAGCAACUGCCUCAGACAGGUGUCAAUCCUCCAGCGAACUCGUCCUGCUGCCACGAUGGAGCAUGAAACGGCCUCUCCUGCUGGAAGAACAAGAGGUGUGUGGGCUCCCUGAAGUGGCACAACACCGGGUCAUUGGAGAGCCACAGCGUGUUUGGGCACAGAACUAUCUGUGUUAUUUCAGCACAGCCUGUUGGAUGGAGAACCAUUUCACAGGCAUUAUGGAUUAAUCUUUGGCAGGAUCUCUCCAGGAUCAAACCAAAUUGGAUGUUUAACCUCACGUGUCCUCGAGCUGAGUGUCCUCUGAUAAACACGGAUAGAGAGGAUUGAAUGUGACCCACAUAUUUUUUCUAAAUGUAUUACCUGACUCCCUAUGAAAGGAUGGAAAUGUAGUUACUCUGUACAGUGAACAUCCUUCUUCAGGUGAGUCAUCCAAAGAAAUACAAAUUCAUUGUGUUUAAAUAGAGCUAUCACUUAACACAAAAAACAUUGAGCAGGUUUUUUGUCCAGCUAAUUCUAAGAUUGUUUUGUUUAAAACAAUAAAAUUGUAAAUUGAAAAAA